rnacentral:rRNA from 1 species
GUCCUUAGUUACCAGCACGUUAUGGUGGGCACUCUAAGGAGACUGCCGGUGACAAACCGGAGGAAGGUGGGGAUGACGUCAAGUCAUCAUGGCCCUUACGGCCUGGGCUACACACGUGCUACAAUGGUCGGUACAGAGGGUUGCCAAGCCGCGAGGUGGAGCUAAUCUCACAAAACCGAUCGUAGUCCGGAUCGCAGUCUGCAACUCGACUGCGUGAAGUCGGAAUCGCUAGUAAUCGCGAAUCAGAAUGUCGCGGUGAAUACGUU